UACGAAGGGUGCAAGCGUUACUCGGAAUCACUGGGCGUAAAGCGUGCGUAGGCGGUUGAUUAAGUCUGCUGUGAAAGCCCUGGGCUCAACCUGGGAACUGCAGUGGAUACUGGUCAGCUAGAGUGUGAUAGAGGAUGGUGGAAUUCCCGGUGUAGCGGUGAAAUGCGUAGAGAUCGGGAGGAACACCAGUGGCGAAGGCGGCCAUCUGAAUCAACACUGACGCUGAGGCACGAAAGCGUGGGGAGCAAACAGG
rnacentral:rRNA from 1 species